CACACUGCAACACAGAUGAGCCAAUUACCAUUCAAUUUGAGUUUAAAACAAAGUCGAUCCUCAAAGCUUCCAUUGUUAAGAGCCAUCACUUAGCGCAUAAAAGGCAUGUAAUUACACCCAAGGACAGCCCAGCCUACGAGUGCUGCUUCAGCAUUAAUGAAAUAGAGGAACACCAUAUGUGUACAUUUUGUGGAAGUAUUUUAAUGCAUUAUAAAAAUUAUUAACCUUAAAAGUAUAUAAAUGUCAUAGAAGUAUGUAAGUAUAUAAAUAUAUGACUGAUUGAAAGGCUUAUUACUCUCUCAUUUGCUACAUACUGAUGGUAUCAUCUGAAAACAAGAGACCACUGACUGGAAAUCUGUAAAGCAUCCCUUGUAAUUGUGUAAUAUUUGAAUGUGCUAUUAAGAAGAGUGCCCCAAAGGAACGUAACUGAAAAGACACCAUACUAGACAUCAGAAGCUUGCUGAGAAGUAUCAACUCAUCUUGUCAGCAAAAGCAACACAAAAACUUAGUAAUCUUGAAAAAUGAAGUGGGUCUUCUUACAUGGAUACAUUGAUUACAAAGUGACAUGAAGUCCUUCUAACCCCACCCCUGUAUCUUGUCCCUUCCAUUGACUUAGAUAUUAAAAUUGGAGGGAUAAUUUAAGAAUUUGCUUAUGACUCCAAUUCUGCUUCAAUAUAAUGUUAGCAUUUGGGAAAACCCUUUUCCAAGUAUAGAAAGUAAAGGAACUGAGCUCAAGCUUUCCUGACUGCUGGCAUGUGCUCAUUUCCUACCACCACAAUCAAAAAAGAAUCUCAUCAUCUUGUCUACAGCUACAAACCCAAGCCUGCAGGGCAAACACUAACUGCAGGUGACUGCAGUCAGCCAUGCACUGGAUCUGCCGCAUGUCUCUGUCACAGGGAAGCCAGGAACUAUUACUGAGGGAAUAAGAAGGGAAGCACAGAUUUCUUUAGUUUUGGAACAGCCUGGCAUUGCAAGGUAGCAAUCUUUGGCUAGUUAAUUAAAAAUUUACUUUAUUAGUAGUACUAUGACACCAGUCUGUGCAAGCUGUACCUUCCUCGCCGCAGUGCUAUGGCAUAACUUUUUUAAUUAUUAUUAUGGCUGUAAAAGUUCUUACUCACAAUUUCAGGACAUGGCAUGUCAUUAAGUCUUUUUACCUGAAUUAAGGCGCCACUGUCUUCAUUCAGUUUGUCAUCAUGUUUGAACUCUACCAUCACUGCUUUGUCACAGUCAACUUCUGCCAUUUCUACAUCUGUGGUGUUGGUCAUGUAAAUGGCACCAAAGAAGUCAGUAGCCCUGAAGCCUAUAGCCAGAUUAGAACAAACAAACAAAUCGUAUUAUUAUAUUUAAAAAUAACAAGUACAAGUGACAUUAUUUUGUGACUUCUUUUUUGGUCAUUCCGUUGUGCUUACUAAAAUGGGAACCAUUUCCCCUCAGGGGUGUGCAGCCUCAGUCAACAGCCUCUGGGAGGACAAAGUGAAGCUGUUCUGAUGGGCCAUGAAGGGGUGCUGCAGCUCAGAGACACCCCAGAACCUUUUCCACUGUUCAUGUGCCCGUUUUGUGUGUUUGUAUUUCUCAAAUACUUGCAUUUGAGGCAAGAAUGAUUGGUUGAAAAGUAGGAACAUUAAUUUAAUUUGAAGUAAUGAAAGAACAUUAAGUGUCCAGCAACAACUCCCUCUUUUGUACAACUUAUUUGCAUUUCAGGAUGCAUGCAUAGUGAUCAGAAACCUUAAUUGUAUUUGCAGAUUUAAGUAGGUAUAUACAGUAAGGGCACACUCAUUUUACCAGUCUAUACUGUUCAAAAGGUACAUAAUGAAGUUAAAACAGGAAGCCUCAUGUUACAAGUGAUCUGUAGAGCACUUCUAGCACUGUAUUACUUAUAGUUAUGUAUUCUCAUGUGCAUUCAUAUUUAUUUUCAUUCCCAACGGGUACCGUUACCUGUACUUGGCCGAUCCCUUAUUAUUGCAUCGAAGCCGGUCUUUUUUUCUAUGUUCUUCUGAAGUCGGUGAGGAACUGGGGGCUAUCAGAAUUGAGCUGAAAGCACAAGGUGCAGUUCACCACGGGGUGGCAGCAAACCAGCAGAAAUCGAACAGUCCCCCAGCCCGCUGUGAACUCUGCCCCUGCCCUCCCUUUAAAAAAAGCCUUAAAAAUUAGAGUAGCCUUGUUCACUUAGCAAAAAAUGGUUUUGCAGAUCAGCUGAUGACAUGAAGAAAGUCCCCUAUUCCCCAUAAAGAUUCCCAUGAAAUUUUACACAAAUGAGUGUUGUUAUGGCUUUUGUUUUGGGGAGGAGUGUCUUUAUCAUAAGCAUUUUUAACUGUAAAUGCAGGAGUAAUUGACUACCCUGCAUAUGUAGGUAAGUGGGUUUAAUUUUAAGAUACCAACCAGCUUAUGUAGAAAUAAAAUUACAGUCUCAAGAUACCUAUUUGAGCCUGAUCUGCUGUUUAUACAUUUGAAUUUUACCCCCUGGGGUUUAUAAAUAUUUUUUCUAGAUUCGCUCUACUUUUACGCUGUCAAAGCAUGCUUUGAAAUA